rnacentral:rRNA from 1 species
AGGACGAACGCUGGCGGCGUGCUUAACACAUGCAAGUCGAGCGGAAAGGCCCUUCGGGGUACUCGAGCGGCGAACGGGUGAGUAACACGUGAGUAAUCUGCCCCUAGCUCUGGGAUAGCUCCGGGAAACCGGGAUUAAUACCGGAUACGACCACUUUAGACAUCUGUUGUGGUGGAAAGAAUUUUGGCUAGGGAUGAGCUCGCGGCCUAUCAGCUUGUUGGUGGGGUAAUGGCCUACCAAGGCGACGACGGGUAGCCGGCCUGAGAGGGCGACCGGCCACACUGGGACUGAGACACGGCCCAGACUCCUACGGGAGGCAGCAGUGGGGAAUAUUGCGCAAUGGGCGAAAGCCUGACGCAGCGACGCCGCGUGGGGGAUGAAGGCCUUCGGGUUGUAACCCUUUCAGCAGGGACGAAGCGAAAGUGACGGUACCUGCAGAAGAAGCGCCGGCUAACUACGUGCCAGCAGCCGC